rnacentral:SRP_RNA from 1 species
GGUCAGGGUCCGCGCGACGAAAAUCCGCUAACCCCGUCAGGACCGGAAGGUAGCAGCGGCAUGUGGAACCUUUCGAGUGCCGCGGAGCGCUCUGACCCGA